rnacentral:tRNA from 1 species
CUAGGGUUAUUGCUCAGUGGUACAGUACUUGCCUGGCAUGUAUGAGGCACUGGGUUCAAUUCUCAGCAUUGUAUA